CCUACGGUGUGCAGCAGUGGGGGAUAUUGCACAAUGGGGGGAACCCUGAUGCAGCGACGCCGCGUGGGUGAAGAAGCGCCUCGGCGCGUAAAGCCCUGUCAGCAGGGAAGAAAAUGACGGUACCUGAAGAAGAAGCCCCGGCUAACUACGUGCCAGCAGCCGCGGUAAUACGUAGGGGGCAAGCGUUAUCCGGAUUUACUGGGUGUAAAGCGCUCGUAGGCGGUAUGUCAAGUCAAGGGUGAAAUCCCCGCGCUCAACGUGGGAACUGCCAUUGAAACUGGCAAACGGGAGUGUGUGAGAGGAUAGUGGAAUUCCAGGUGUAGGAGUGAAAUCCGUAGAUAUCUGGAGGAACAUCAGUGGCGAAGGCGACUAUCUGGCACAUAACUGACGCUGAGGAGCGAAAGCGUGGGUAGCAAACAGGAUUAGAUACCCGGGUAGUC
rnacentral:rRNA from 1 species